AUGCGUGAGGAUUUCGGAGUCCUGCAGAAGGAUAAUGCCCAGGUGCAGUCGCAGGUGUCUAAACUGCAAGCAGAAGUGCAAGCAAUUGGGUCCAAGCAAGGAGAAAUUUCUGUAACAGUGGGGGAAGUUGAGGAAGUGGUAUUGGAUCUAGGGAAACUGCAGAACAAGUUUUAUGGUCCAUUUGUGAUAACGCAGAGAGUGGGCAAAGUAGCUUACAAACUGCAGUUCCUUGACCAUGUGAAAAUUCAUCCUGUAUUCCAUGUGAGCCAGUUGAAAAAGCACAUCGGUUCCAAGUCCAUUCCCAGUAAAAACCUUCCCAUGGUCACAGCUGAUGGCACAGUCAAGACUGGGCCGACAGAAGUCCUUCAAGUCAAGCAGGUACCUCGACAAAAUAUGCCGGUGGUACAGUGGUACAUUCAGUGGGAAAAGUUACCACUAGAAGAUGCACGUGGGAGGAUGCAGAUUUCAUAA
rnacentral:rRNA from 1 species